rnacentral:rRNA from 1 species
UACGGAGGAUGCGAGCGUUAUCCGGAUUUAUUGGGUUUAAAGGGUGCGUAGGCGGUUUUUUAAGUUAGUGGUUAAACGUCGGGGCUUCACCUUGAUUUGCCAUUAGUACUGUAAGACUCGAGUUCAGACGAGGUAGGCGGAAUAAGUUAAGUAGCGGUGAAAUGCUUAGAUAUAACUUAGAACUCCGAUAGCGAAGGCAGCUUACCAGACUGCGACUGACGCUGAAGCACGAGAGCGUGGGUAGCGAACAGG